AGCAGUGUGGCUCAGUGGCAAGAGCCCGGGCUCGGGAGUCAGAGGACGUGGGUUCUAAUCCCAGCUCUGCCA
rnacentral:tRNA from 1 species